UCUAGCGGCGGACGGGUUAGUAACGCGUGGGAACGUACCCUUUUCUACGGAAUAGCCUCGGGAAACUGAGAGUAAUACCGUAUACGCCCUUUGGGGGAAAGAUUUAUCGGAGAAGGAUCGGCCCGCGUUAGAUUAGAUAGUUGGUGGGGUAAUGGCCUACCAAGUCUACGAUCUAUAGCUGGUUUGAGAGGAUGAUCAGCAACACAGGGACUGAGACACGGCCCAGACUCCUACGGGAGGCAGCAGUGGGGAAUCUUAGACAAUGGGCGCAAGCCUGAUCUAGCCAUGCCGCGUGAGUGAAGAAGGCCUUAGGGUCGUAAAGCUCUUUCGCCUGUGAAGAUAAUGACUGUAGCAGGUAAAGAAACCCCGGCUAACUCCGUGCCAGCAGCCGCGGUAAUACGGAGGGGGUUAGCGUUGUUCGGAAUUACUGGGCGUAAAGCGCGCGUAGGCGGACAUUUAAGUCAGAGGUGAAAUCCCAGGGCUCAACCCUGGAACUGCCUUUGAUACUGGGUGUCUUGAGUUCGAGAGAGGUGAGUGGAAUUCCGAGUGUAGAGGUGAAAUUCGUAGAUAUUCGGAGGAACACUAGUGGCGAAGGCGGCUCACUGGCUCGAUACUGACGCUGAGGUGCGAAAGUGUGGGGAGCAAACAGGAUUAGAUACCCUGGUAGUCCACACCGUAAACGAUAAAUGCCAGUCGUCGG
rnacentral:rRNA from 1 species